rnacentral:rRNA from 1 species
UUCGGGUUAGUGGCGGACGGGUGAGUAACGCGUGAGAAUCUGCCCUCAGGAGGGGGAUAACAGCUGGAAACGGCUGCUAAUACCCCAUAUGCCGCGAGGUGAAAUGAAUUUCGCCUGAGGAUGAGCUCGCGUCUGAUUAGCUAGUUGGUGUAGGUAAUGGCUUACCAAGGCAUCGAUCAGUAGCUGGUCUGAGAGGAUGAUCAGCCACACUGGGACUGAGACACGGCCCAGACUCCUACGGGAGGCAGCAGUGGGGAAUUUUCCGCAAUGGGCGAAAGCCUGACGGAGCAACGCCGCGUGAGGGAUGAAGGCCUCUGGGCUGUAAACCUCUUUUAUCAAGGAAGAAGAUCUGACGGUACUUGAUGAAUAAGCCACGGCUAAUCCCGUGCCAGCAGCCGCGGUAAUACGGGAGUGGCAAGCGUUAUCCGGAAUUAUUGGGCGUAAAGCGUCCGCAGGCGGCCCUUCAAGUCUGCUGUUAAAAAGUGGAGCUUAACUCCAUCAUGGCAGUG